rnacentral:antisense_RNA from 1 species
GGGCUUUAGCGCGAGCUGGGCGGUCGGCCCGGUCCCACCGAACUGCAUAGGGCCGUGUAGCCGGGGGAAGUCAGCCCCCUGCUCUGAGAAGCAGACUCUCCAUCUGUAAAAGGCUAAGGGUGCCCACUGGGGCCUGUGGUCAGGAUUGGCGGGAGUAAAGUCCGCAAAGCCCCUACCGCAUCCUGCGCCUUUGUUAGGGUGAGCAGUCAUGGGGACUCGCACUGUGCCACCAGGUAGCGGGUCUCACUGGGUCCGCUUGUCUGCUCGAGGAGACAGCCCGUGAGGACGGGGGCUCGCCUGCUUUGCUCACCGCUGUAGCCUCAGCCUCCGCCCGUAUCCACAGUAGGCAUCCGUUCCAUUGAUAUUCGCUAAAUGAGUGAAUUAUUACUAAGACAGAGGGCCGAGUGGAAGCGCCAUAAAUCAUGAGAGUGAAUGUAAUUGUUGUCGCUGACCCUAUGGAGCCCUUCCCUUGCCAGGCACUCACCCAUCCUAGGUAUGUACUUUACAUGUAAUUGUCAUCUUCAUUUGUCUUCACAACAGCCCUGUGAGGUAGGUGCUGUGGUUAUUCCCAUUUUACAGAUAGGAAACUGAGGCACACAGAGCAUUUUGUUCAAGGGCACACUGCCAGUCAGGGGUAGGAGCAGAAUGAGAGAACCCAGGGAGCUUGCUCUUAGGCACCCUGCCACACUGCUCACUGUGGGAGAGAAGAAGCCAGGCAGACGUGUGCAGCUUGGAAUUCCCUGCACACGUGCUGCGGCAGGUCAAUUAGACCGGGUGCCCCGAUGUGUGCUGCAAAGAUGGAUACUAUGCGGUCCCUGCUGGGCAGUCUGACUAUACUUCACUGGCCAGCUAGUUUUCCUGUUCACCAAGAGAAUUGUUUCCCAUGGCUUGUCUCAGACCUCCCGCACUCACUACUUCCUCACCCGACUCAGUGAUCAUGGGUCUUAUCCCAUUGAGAAAAUGGAAUGCGUUUCCUUCACAAUCACUUUGGCAUUCAUCCCCUCUUUUGCUCUUGCCCCAAAAGAGGGUCUCUCACAGAGGCCAGUCCCUCUAACUGUGUCCUGGAUCCCUCCCCAUUUGCCUUCUUUAUUAUAGGCAGUGCUCUAAGUGUGGUCUAGGAAUCCCUGGGGAUCCUGAAACCCUUUCAGACUGUCCAUGGGGCCAAAAAAUACUUUCAUAACACUAAGACUUUACUUACUUUUUCAUUGUUAUUCUCUCAUAAGUAUAUGGGGGGAUUUUCCAGAAGCUACAUGAUGUGUGAUAUUGCAACAAAUUGAAUGCAAAAGAAGAUAAGAGAUCCAGCGGUCUUGUACUAAGCCAGAUGUUAAAGAGAUCUGCAAAAAUAGAAAACUGCCCCUCUUUUGACUUUUUUGGAAAGUAUAAUUUUUCAUUAGAGAACGUUAACAUCUAAUGGGUUUAUUAUUUUUAAUGAGUUAAUAAAUUUUUUAUCGAUUGUA